rnacentral:lncRNA from 1 species
GCCAUGCGCGCCUGAUUGUUCUGUGGCCCCAAAGCUGCAGCGGGGGUGUGUGUGUUGGGGUGUGUGUCUGUGUGUGUACAGAGACGUCCACACUAACUCGCGGCUGCAGGAUCAGCGUCUGGAAGCAGACGUUUCGGCUACAGACCCAGAGAGGAGGAGCUGGAGAUCAGGAGGCGUGAGCCGCCAAGAGUUUGCAGAAUCUGUGGUGUGAAUGAACUGGGGGCACCUGGGCGCACAGAUCGCCCCCCUUCCCCCGCCCCGGGCCACAGUUGAGUAGUGGUACAUUUUUUUCACCCUCUUGUGAAGAAUUUCUUUUUAUUAUUAUUUGUCGUAAGGUCUUUUGCACAAUCACGCCCACAUUUGGGGUUGGAAAGCCCUAAUUACCGCCGUCGCUGAUGGACGUUGGAAACGGAGCGCCUCUCCGUGGAACAGUUGCCUGCGCGCCCUCGCCGGACCGGCGGCUCCCUAGUUGCGCCCCGACCAGGCCCUGCCCUUGCUGCCGGCUCGCGCGCGUCCGCGCCCCCUCCAUUCCUGGGCGCAUCCCAGCUCUGCCCCAACUCGGGAGUCCAGGCCCGGGCGCCAGUGCCCGCUUCAGCUCCGGUUCACUGCGCCCGCCGGACGCGCGCCGGAGGACUCCGCAGCCCUGCUCCUGACCGUCCCCCCAGGCUUAACCCGGUCGCUCCGCUCGGAUUCCUCGGCUGCGCUCGCUCGGGUGGCGACUUCCUCCCCGCGCCCCCUCCCCCUCGCCAUGAAGGGGUUAGCACUAUGCGCGCAGAACUCGGAGCCAUCCCCGCGGCCUUUUCUUCCCCGCGGUGCGGUGCCGGCUGCCCCCUGUUGGCCGCCUUGAG